UACGAGUGCCUCAAGCGUUAUCCGGAAUCAUUGGGCGUAAAGGGUGUGUAGGUGGUUUUAUUAGUCUUUUGUUAAAUUCUUCGGCUUAACCGGGGGCAUGCAAAGGAAACGGUAAAACUUGAGGAUGCGAGGGGUCUGUGGAACUCAUAGUGUAGCGGUAAAAUGCGUUGAUAUUAUGGGGAACACCAAAAGCGAAGGCAGCAGACUGGAGCGCUCCUGACACUGAAACAAGAAAGCGUGGGUCGCGAAUGGG
rnacentral:rRNA from 1 species